AGCGAACGCUGGCGGCAGGCCUAACACAUGCAAGUCGAACGAAGUCUUCGACUUAGUGGCGGACGGGUGAGUAACACGUGGGAACGUGCCUUUAGGUUCGGAAUAACUCAGGGAAACUUGUGCUAAUACCGAAUGUGCCCUUCGGGGGAAAGAUUUAUCGCCUUUAGAGCGGCCCGCGUCUGAUUAGCUAGUUGGUGAGGUAAAGGCUCACCAAGGCGACGAUCAGUAGCUGGUCUGAGAGGAUGAUCAGCCACAUUGGGACUGAGACACGGCCCAAACUCCUACGGGAGGCAGCAGUGGGGAAUCUUGCGCAAUGGGCGAAAGCUUGACGCAGCCAUGCCGCGUGAAUGAUGAAGGUCUUAGGAUUGUAAAAUUCUUUCACCGGGGACGAUAAUGACGGUACCCGGAGAAGAAGCCCCGGCUAACUUCGUGCCAGCCGCCGCCGUAAAAC
rnacentral:rRNA from 1 species